UACGGAAGGCAGCAGUGGGGAAUAUUGCACAAUGGGCGCAAGCCUGAUGCAGCCAUGCCGCGUGUAUGAAGAAGGCCUUCAGGUUGUAAAGUACUUUCAGUCGUGAGGAAGGUGUUAAGGUUAAUAACCUUAGCAAUUGACGUUAGCGACAGAAGAAGCACCGGCUAACUCCGUGCCAGCAGCCGCGGUAAUACGGAGGGUGCGAGCGUUAAUCGGAAUUACUGGGCGUAAAGGGCACGCAGGCGGUUAAUUAAGUUGGAUGUGAAUCCCCGGGCUUAACCUGGGAAUGGCAUUCAAGACUGGUUAGCUAGAGUCUUGUAGAGGGGGUAGAAUUCCAUGUGUAGCGGUGAAAUGCGUAGAGAUGUGGAGGAAUACCGGGUGGCGAAGGCGGCCCCUGGGACAAAGACUGACGCUCAUGUGCGAAAGCGUGGGGAGCAAACAGGGAUUAGAUACC
rnacentral:rRNA from 1 species